GCUUGUCUCAAAGAUUAAGCCAUGCAUGUCUAUGUAUAAACAAGUAUACUGUGAAACUGCGAAUGGCUCAUUAAAUCAGUUAUAGUUUAUUUGAUAGUACCUUACUACUUGGAUAACCGUGGUAAUUCUAGAGCUAAUACAUGCUAAAAAACCCGACUUCUGGAAGGGUUGUAUUUAUUAGAUACAAAACCAAUGCCCUUCGGGGCUCCUUGGUGAUUCAUGAUAACUAUACGAAUCGCACGGCCUUGCGCCGGCGAUGGUUCAUUCAAAUUUCUUCCCUAUCAACUUUCGAUGUUUGGGUAUUGGCCAAACAUGGUUGCAACGGGUAACGGAGGGUUAGGGCUCGACCCCGGAGAAGGAGCCUGAGAAACGGCUACUACAUCCAAGGAAGGCAGCAGG
rnacentral:rRNA from 1 species